rnacentral:rRNA from 1 species
CAAGGCCUUGCGCUCUUUGAGCGGCCGAUGUCAGAUUAGCUAGUUGGUGAGGUAAAGGCUUACCAAGGCGACGAUCUGUAGCGGGUCUGAGAGGAUGAUCCGCCACACUGGAACUGAGACACGGUCCAGACUCCUACGGGAGGCAGCAGUGGGGAAUUUUGGACAAUGGGGGCAACCCUGAUCCAGCCAUGCCGCGUGAGUGAAGAAGGCCUUCGGGUUGUAAAGCUCUUUCGGCCGGGAAGAAAUCGCAUGGGCCAAUACCCUGUGUGGAUGACGGUACCGGAAUAAGAAGCACCGGCUAACUACGUGCCAGCAGCCGCGGUAAUACGUAGGGUGCGAGCGUUAAUCGGAAUUACUGGGCGUAAAGCGUGCGCAGGCGGUUUUGUAAGACAGGCGUGAAAUCCCCGGGCUUAACCUGGGAACUGCGUUUGUGACUGCAAGGCUAGAGUACGGCAGAGGGGGGUGGAAUUCCACGUGUAGCAGUGAAAUGCGUAGAGAUGUGGAGGAACACCAAUGGCGAAGGCAGCCCCCUGGGUCGAUACUGACGCUCAUGCACGAAAGCGUGGGUAGCAAACAGGAUUAGAUACCCUGGUAGUCCACGCCCUAAACUAUGUCAACUAGGUGUUGGGUGGGUAAAACCAUUUAGUACCGUAGCUAACGCGUGAAGUUGACCGCCUGGGGAGUACGGCCGCAAGGUUAAAACUCAAAGGAAUUGACGGGGACCCGCACAAGCGGUGGAUGAUGUGGAUUAAUUCGAUGCAACGCGAAAAACCUUACCUACCCUUGACAUGCCAGGAACUUGCCAGAGAUGGCUUGGUGCCCGAAAGGGAGCCUGGACACAGGUGCUGCAUGGCUGUCGUCAGCUCGUGUCGUGAGAUGUUGGGUUAAGUCCCGCAACGAGCGCAACCCUUGUCGUUAAUUGCCAUCAUUUAGUUGGGCACUUUAACGAGACUGCCGGUGACAAACCGGAGGAAGGUGGGGAUGACGUCAAGUCCUCAUGGCCCUUAUGGGUAGGGCUUCACACGUCAUACAAUGGUCGGUACAAAGGGUUGCCAAGCCGCGAGGCGGAGCCAAUCCCAGAAAGCCGAUCGUAGUCCGGAUUGCAGGCUGCAACUCGCCUGCAUGAAGUCGGAAUCGCUAGUAAUCGUGGAUCAGCAUGUCACGGUGAAUACGUUCCCGGGUCUUGUACACACCGCCCGUCACACCAUGGGAGCGGGUUCCGCCAGAAGUAGGUAGCCUAACCGCAAGGGGGGCGCUUACCACGGCGGGGUUCGUGACUGGGGUGAAGUCGAAACAAGGUA